UAUAACGCUGUUGACUCAAUUUAUUUACAGACGCAAUGCGGCGAACGCAUUUCACCUCAUCUGUAAAGGACACACACAUUAAAGUCGCUUGAAACGGAAAAUCAAUACGAACAUACACAAAAACAUGUAGGUGAAAAAUUUUUUGGGAAGAGCUGGACCAACGUGAAACAACUUGAAAUUUUUACACUAUUAGUCAGGCGAUGAUAAAAGGAAUAAUAUUUUUAAUAAUAAUUUCUAUUUUUUAAGCCACUCUCUUUUCACAAAAAACUACCUUUUUGGGGAAACCGUCAUUUUAACAAAAAACAAAAUAUUUCCUAUUGAUUUACCUGUAAAAAUCUAUAAUAAUAAUAAUUUUUAAGAUUUUUGGAUUUGAUAUGACUAU